AGUUAUUCGAAUCAACUCGAUUUUUUUUUUCGAAUUUCGAGUUUGAAUCGAGUUAAGUUUUCGAAUUCGAAUAACUCGAAUAAUUCGGAUAAUUCGAAUAUCAAACUAUAAUAUUUGACAGUUUUACCCUAAACUCCCAAACCUUUUUACUUUUCCCUCAAAACUUUUACUCCUUCCCACUUUCCCCCUAGAACUUUUACUCCCCUCCCCUCCCAACCCCCCAAUCUACCCAAAAUACAUUUCCCACCAAAAUUUUACUCUCCCAUUUACUUUUUCUCAAAAUUUUACUCC
rnacentral:lncRNA from 1 species